UGGAACAUCAGGGGUUUGAACAACCCGGCUAGAAGAUCUAUUGUGCGAGAGUUGGCCUCCAACCACAGAUGCAACCUUGUAUGCUUGCAGGAAACAAAACUGUCUCUCAUCACCAAUGCUAUUGUCUCUAAAACUUUAGGUGUUAGCUUCUUCAACAAUUUUGCCUUUUUGCCGGCGCUGGGAACCCGUGGUGGCGUUCUCAUUGCUGCCUCUUCUGAUCAUUACACCAUCACCCCUCAACCAUUGCUUGCUGGUGCUUACUCAGUCACAGUGCUUGUUACUGAACUCGCCUCCAAUGCCGUUUGGUCUUUAACCGGUGUCUAUGGACCUCAAGAAGAUGCUGACAAGAUCCUCUUCCUCGAGGAAAUGCGCGCACUACAACCUUUGUGUAAGCAGGAGUGGCUGAUCAUGGGCGACUUCAACCUCAUUAGCAGAAUGAAUGAAAAGAGCAAUGGGAAUGUCAACCUUGCGAUGCUGCGACGGUUCCGGGCCGCCAUUGACAAUCUGAACCUCAAAGAGUUGCCUCUCAUUGGUCGCCGAUACACUUGGUCCAGCGAGUGGCUCCACUCUACGCACACAAAGAUCGACAAGGUCCUCUUCUCAAAGGAAUGGGAAGAGCUCUCUCCCAGUUGUCAGCUGCUUGCUGGCUCCACGGAAAUCUCUGAUCACUGCCCACUUAUUCUGAAGAACUUCUGCAACCAAAAGUUCUCUGGCUUCCGCUUCGAGGCUUGA
rnacentral:rRNA from 1 species